rnacentral:rRNA from 1 species
CGGAGGGUGCAAGCGUUAUCCGGAUUCACUGGGUUUAAAGGGAGCGUAGGUGGGCUGGUAAGUCAGUGGUGAAAUCCCCGAGCUUAACUUGGGAACUGCCAUUGAUACUAUUAGUCUUGAAUAUUGUGGAGGUCAGCGGAAUAUGUCAUGUAGUGGUGAAAUGCUUAGAGAUGACAUAGAACACCAAUUGCGAAGGCAGCUGGCUACACAUAUAUUGACACUGAGGUUCGAAAGCGUGGGGAUCAAACAGGAUUAGAUACCCUGGUAGUCCACGCCCUAAACUAUGGAUACUCGACAUACGCGAUACACUGUGUGUGUCUGAGCGAAAGCAUUAAGUAUCCCACCUGGGAAGUACGAUCGCAAGAUUG